AUGAAUAUUGGGACAGGGAGACAGGAAGGUGGAUUUAUCAGGAGGAAUAGAGGAGGAGGAGGAUGAAUAUUGGGACAGGGAGACAGGAAGGUGGAUUUAUCAGGAGGAGGAAUAGAGGAGGAGGAUGGAUAUUGGGACAGGGAGACAGGAAGGUGGAUUUAUCAGGAGGAAUAGAGGAGGAGGAGGAAUAUUGGGACAGGGAGACAGGAAGGUGGAUUUAUCAGGAGGAGGAAUAGAGGAGGAGGAGGAAUAUUGGGACAGGGAGACAGGAAGGUGGAUUUAUCAGGAGGAAUAGAGGAGGAGGAGGAAUAUUGGGACAGGGAGACAGGAAGGUGGAUUUAUCAGGAGGAAUAGAGGAGGAGGAUGAAUAUUGGGACAGGGAGACAGGAAGGUGGAUUUAUCAGGAGGAAUAGAGGAGGAGGAUGAAUAUUGGGACAGGGAGACAGGAAGGUGGAUUUAUCAGGAGGAAUAGAGGAGGAGGAGGAAUAUUGGGACAGGGAGACAGGAAGGUGGAUUUAUCAGGAGGAAUAGAAGGAGAAAAGGAAUAUUGGGACAGGGAGACAGGAAGGUGGAUUUAUCAGGAGGAAUAGAGGAGGAGGAGGAAUAUUGGGACAGGAAGACAGGAAGGUGGAUUUAUCAGGAGGAAUAGAGGAGGAGGAGGAAUAUUGGGACAGGAAGACAGGAAGGUGGAUUUAUCAGGAGGAAUAGAGGAGGAGGAGGAAUAUUGGGACAGGGGGACAGGAAGGUGGAUUUAUCAGGAGGAGGAAUAGAGGAGGAGGAUGAAUAUUGGGACAGGGAGACAGGAAGGUGGAUUUAUCAGGAGGAAUAGAGGAGGAGGAUGAAUAUUGGGACAGGGAGACAGGAAGGUGGAUUUAUCAGAAGGAAUAGAGUGUUACGGGGGACAGAGUUAAUUAAGGUGUAUUUAUCAGGAGGAAUAGAGUGUUACGGGGGACAGAGUUAAUUAAGGUGUAUUUAUCAGGAGGAAUAGAGUGUUACGGGGGACAGAGUUAAUUAAGGUGUAUUUAUCAGGAGGAAUAGAGUGUUACGGGGGACAGAGUUAAUUAAGGUGUAUUUAUCAGGAGGAAUAGAGUGUUACGGGGGACAGAGUUAAUUAAGGUGUAUUUAUCAGGAGGAAUAGAGUGUUACGGGGGACAGAGUUAAUUAAGGUGUAUUUAUCAGGAGGAGGAAUAGAGUGUUACGGGGGACAGAGUUAAUUAAGGUGUAUUUAUCAGGAGGAGGAAUAGAGUGUUACGGGGGACAGAGUUAAUUAAGGUGUAUUUAUCAGGAGGAAUAGAGUGUUAC